rnacentral:rRNA from 1 species
GACGAACGCUGGCGGCGUGCCUAAUACAUGCAAGUAGAACGCUGAAGGAGGAGCUUGCUUCUCUGGAUGAGUUGCGAACGGGUGAGUAACGCGUAGGUAACCUGCCUGGUAGCGGGGGAUAACUAUUGGAAACGAUAGCUAAUACCGCAUAAUAGCAGUUAUUGCAUGAUAACUGUUUGAAAGGUGCAAUUGCACCACUACCAGAUGGACCUGCGUUGUAUUAGCUAGUUGGUGGGGUAACGGCUCACCAAGGCGACGAUACAUAGCCGACCUGAGAGGGUGAUCGGCCACACUGGGACAGAGACACGGCCCCAACUCCUACGGGGGGCAGCAGUAGGGAAUCUUGGGAAAUGGACGGGGGUCUGACCGGGCAACCCCGCGGGAGUGAAAAAGGUUUUGGGAUCGAAAAGCUCUGUUUUAAGGGAAAAACGGGGGGGGGAGGGGAAAGUCCACACUGGGGCGGUAUUUAACCAAAAAGGGACGGCUAACUACGG